AGUAAAAGUCGUAACAAGGUUUCCGUAGGUGAACCUGCGGAAGGAUCAUUAACGAAGCAGCGCUUCAAAGUCACCCAGUGAACACCAGUAGCCUAGGCUAAAACAAACUCUUGUGUUGUCUCGAAUGUCUAGUUAUUCAUAACAAGCAUAACUUUCAGCAACGGAUCUCUUGGCUCUCGCAUCGAUGAAGAACGCAGCGAAAUGCGAUAAGUAAUGUGAAUUGCAGAAUAGUGAAUCAUCGAAUCUUUGAACGCACCUUGCGCCCUCCGGGGCAUGCCAGUUUGAGAGCCUUUUCAUGCUCGACGAGUAGAUUUCUGCUGGUCGGAUUUGAGCGCUGCCGUCGGCUCGCUCUGAAUGCAUUUGCGGCGAGAGUGCCUGCAGCAACGUGAUAAGUAUUUCGUUGAGGCAGGCAUCCUUGACGCCCCUAAUCGUCUUCGGACACUUCAUGCUAGGCACAAA
rnacentral:rRNA from 1 species